AACGGAAAGGCCCUGCUUGCAGGGUACUCGAGUGGCGAACGGGUGAGUAACACGUGGGUGAUCUGCCCUGCACUUCGGGAUAAGCUUGGGAAACUGGGUCUAAUACCGGAUAGGAGCCAUCUUUAGUGUGGUGGUUGGAAAGUUUUUUCGGUGUAGGAUGAGCUCGCGGCCUAUCAGCUUGUUGGUGGGGUGAUGGCCUACCAAGGCGGCGACGGGUAGCCGGCCUGAGAGGGUGUACGGCCACAUUGGGACUGAGAUACGGCCCAGACUCCUACGGGAGGCAGCAGUGGGGAAUAUUGCACAAUGGGCGCAAGCCUGAUGCAGCGACGCCGCGUGGGGGAUGAAGGCCUUCGGGUUGUAAACUCCUUUCGCUAGGGACGAAGCUUUUUUGUGACGGUACCUAGAUAAGAAGCACCGGCUAACUACGUGCCAGCAGCCGCGGUAAUACGUAGGGUGCGAGCGUUGUCCGGAAUUACUGGGCGUAAAGGGCUCGUAGGUGGUUUGUCGCGUCGUCUGUGAAAUUCUGGGGCUUAACUCCGGGCGUGCAGGCGAUACGGGCAUAACUUGAGUGCUGUAGGGGUAACUGGAAUUCCUGGUGUAGCGGCGAAAUGCGCAGAUAUCAGGAGGAACACCGAUGGCGAAGGCAGGUUACUGGGCAGUUACUGACGCUGAGGAGCGAAAGCAUGGGUAGCGAACAGGAUUAGAUACCCUGGU
rnacentral:rRNA from 1 species